rfam:Penicillium arizonense strain CBS 141311 PENARI_contig029, whole genome shotgun sequence.
UGGGAUGAUGAUCAUUCGACAUGCAAAGGCAUUCCUCAAACUUAAUCACCAUGUGGAAUCUGUCAAAAUUUAGUUUCAGCCUUGUCUGACC